GACUCUCGGCAACGGAUAUCUCGGCUCUCACAUCGAUGAAGAAUGUAGCAAAAUGGGAUACUUGGUGUGAAUUGCAGAAUCCCAUGAACCAUUGAGUCUUUGAAUGCAAGUUGCGCCCGAAGCCAUUAGGCCUAGGGUCGCCCCUGCACACCGCGCCC
rnacentral:rRNA from 1 species